UACGUAGGGUGCAAGCGUUAAUCGGAAUUACUGGGCGUAGAGCGUGCGCAGGCGGCUUUGCAAGACAGAUGUGAAAUCCCCGGGCUUAACCUGGGAACUGCAUUUGUGACUGCAUGGCUGGAGUGCGGCAGAGGGGGAUGGAAUUCCGCGUGUAGCAGUGAAAUGCGUAGAUAUGCGGAGGAACACCGAUGGCGAAGGCAAUCCCCUGGGCCUGCACUGACGCUCAUGCACGAAAGCGUGGGGAGCAAACAGG
rnacentral:rRNA from 1 species